rnacentral:rRNA from 1 species
AUUGAACGCUGGCGGCAGGCCUAACACAUGCAAGUCGAACGAGUGGCGGACGGGUGAGUAAUGUCUGGGAAACUGCCCGAUGGAGGGGGAUAACUACUGGAAACGGUAGAUAAUACCGCAUACCAUCGGAUGUGCCCAGAGGGGAUUAGCUAGUAGGUGGGGUAAAGGCUCACCUAGGCGACGAUCCCGAGCUGGUCUGAGCGGAUGACCAGCAAACCUGGAACUGAGACACGGUCCAGCCUCCUACGGGAUGCAGCAGGGGGGAAUAUUGCACAAUGGGCGCAAGCCUGAUGCAGCCAUGCCGCGUGUAUGAAGAAGGCCUUCGGGUUGUAAAGUACUUUCAGCGAGGAGGCGUUACUCGCAGAAGAAGCACCGGCUAACUCCGUGCCAGCAGCCGCGGUAAUAC